GAUGAACGCUGGCGGCGUGCUUAACACAUGCAAGUCGAACGGUGAACGAGGGAGCUUGCUCCCUCCGGAUCAGUGGCGAACGGGUGAGUAGCACGUGAGCAAUCUGCCCUGGACUCUGGGAUAAGCGUUGGAAACGACGUCUAAUACCGGAUACGAGCUGCGAAGGCAUCUUCAGCAGCUGGAAAGAACUUCGGUCCAGGAUGAGCUCGCGGCCUAUCAGCUAGUUGGUGAGGUAACGGCCCACCAAGGCGACGACGGGUAGCCGGACUGAGAGGGUGACCGGCCACACUGGGACUGAGACACGGCCCAGACUCCUACGGGAGGCAGCAGUGGGGAAUAUUGCACAAUGGGCGCAAGCCUGAUGCAGCAACGCCGCGUGAGGGACGACGGCCUUCGGGUUGUAAACCUCUUUUAGUAGGGAAGAAGCGAAAGUGACGGUACCUGCAGAAAAAGCACCGGCUAACUACGUGCCAGCCGCCGCGGUAACAC
rnacentral:rRNA from 1 species